rnacentral:lncRNA from 1 species
AAUUAAUAGUCAGUUUCACUUUAAGGCCCUGUUUAGAUGCAUAAUUAAAAAAUUCCAUGAAAUUUUUAUUCUAUGGUUUUGGUCUAAAUGAAAUACAGAAUUCUGUAACUACAAAAAAAUUUCACAGCUUUAUUUUUAAGCUCUUUAGAUACAGAUCAUACAAUUCCACAGUAUUUAUAACAAUUAAAUUUCUAAAAUUUUAAAAUUCAAAAUUCAAAAUUUAAAAUUCAAAAUUCAAAAUUCAAAAUUCAAAAUUCAAAAUUUAAAAAUAAAACUUUAAAAAUUAAAAUUCAAAAUUCAAAAUAUAAAAUUAAAAUUUAAAAUUUAAAAUUAAAAAAUUAAAUUAGAUUUUAUGUUUUAAAUUUGAAAUUUGAAAUUUGGAAUUUGAAAUUUAAAAUUUGAAAUUUGAAACUUUAAAUUUUAAAAUUUAAAGUAUACCAUUUAAACUUUAAAAUUUGAAAUUUAAAAAAUCUAUAAUUAAAAUUUUAAAUUUUAAAUUUAAUAAUUUAUAAAUUUACAUAUUUAUAAAUUUAAAAUUUAAAAUUUAAGUUUAAAUUUAAAUUUUGAAAAUUGAAAAUUAAAAAUUAAAAAUUAAAUUAAAAUUUGAAAUUUGAAAUUUGAAAUUUGAAAUUUGAAAUUUGAAAUUUGAAAUUUGAACUUUUUGAAAUUUGAAAUUUGAAAUUUGAACUCUUUGAAAUUUGAAAUUUGAAAUUUGAACUUUUUGAAAUUUGAAAUUUGAAAGUUGAAAUUUGAACUUUUUGAAAUUUGAAAUUUGAAAGUUGAAAUUUUAAAGUUGAAAUUUGAAAUUUGAAAUUUGAAAUUUGAACUUUUUGAAAUUUAAAUUUGAAAUUUGAAAGUUGAAAUUUGAAAGUUGAAAUUUGAAAUUUGAAAUUUGAAAUUUAAAAUUUGAAAUUUAAAAUUUAAAAUUUAAAAUUUGAAGUUUGAAAUUUGAAAUUUGAACUUUUUGAAAUUUGAUAUUUGAACUUUUUUAUUUGAAAUUUGAAAUUUAAAUUCAAAAUUAAAAUUGAAUUUUAAAAUUUAAAACUUUAUGUUGAAAUUUAAAAUUUAGAAAUUGAUACAUCUUUGCAGGCCCAACAUGGUGGAAUUUUUUUUUCUGUGGUUAAUGUGGAUUGUAAGUUUACUCCAUUUUUUGGAGUAUAGUAUAACUAUACUCCAAAAAUUACGUUCCUUUUUUUUUGUUUCCAAACGUUUCAUAGGAUUAUUUUUCUACCGGCGUAGUAUAGUUAAACUAUGCUAUAUUUUUAGAGAUAUCCAAAUGAGGCCUAAUUGUUAUGUAUUUAUUAUUAUAAUGUA